GAUGAACGCUGGCGGCGUGCUUAACACAUGCAAGUCGAACGAUGGAGCCAGGCUUUCUGGGUUGUUUAGUGGCGAACGGGCGAGUAACUCGUGAGUAACCUGCCUUUCACUAUGGGUUAAGCCAGGGAAACUGGGCCUAAUUCCGGAUAGGAACGUCUACCAAACGGAUGGUUCUGGAAUGAUUUAGCGGUUUUGGAUCGACUCGCGGCCAAUCAGCUUGUUGGUGAGGGAUUGGUACACCAACGCGACGCCGGGUAGACGGCCCGUGAGGGGGACCGGCCACACGAGGACUGAGACACGGCGCAGACUCGAACGUGAGGCAGCAGUGGGGAAUAUUGCAGAAUGGGGGCAAGCCAGAGGCAGCGACGCCGCGUGCGGGAUGACGUCCUUCGGGUUGAAAACCUAUGUCAGAGGGGAAGAAGAGAAAGUGACGGUACCUGCAGAAGAAGCACCGGCUAACUACGUG
rnacentral:rRNA from 1 species